GCUGAAAUAGCUCAGCUGGGAGAGCAUUUGACAGAUGAUCUAAAGGUCCCUGUUUCGAUCUUGGCUUUCAGCA